rnacentral:snRNA from 1 species
GUAGUCUGGAGAAGCGUCCU